rnacentral:lncRNA from 1 species
AUGAGAAAACUAGAGCUAUUUCAAAUCCUGAAAGAUGAUGCUAUGAAAGUGGUGCACUCAAUAUGCCAGCAAAUUUGGAAAACUCAGCAGUGGCCACAGGACUGGAAAAGGUCAGUUUUCAUUCCAAUCCCUAAGAAAGGCAAUGUCAAAGAAUGCUCAAACUACCGCACAAUUGCACUCAUCUCACACGCUGGUAAAGUAAUGCUCAAAAUUCUCCAAGCCAGUCUUCAGCAAUACGUGAACCAUGAACUCCCUGAUGUUCAAGCUGGUUUUAGAAAAGGCAGAGGAACCAGAGAUCAAAUUGCCAACAUCCACUGGAUCAUGGAAAAAGCAAGAGAGUUCCAGAAAAACAUAUAUUUCUGCUUUAUUGACAAUGCCAAAGCCUUUGACUGUGUGGAUCAUGAUAAACUGUGGAAAAUUCUGAGAGAGAUGGGAAUACCAGACCACCUGACCUGCCUCUUGAGAAAUCUGUAUGCAGGUCAGGAAGCAACAGUUAGAACUGGACAUGGAACAACAGACUGGUUCCAAAUAGGAAAAGGAGUACAUCAAGGCUGUAUAUUGUCACCCUGCUUAUUUAACUUCUAUGCAGAGUACAUCAUGAGAAACGCUGGACUGGAAGAAACACAAGCUGGAAUCAAGAUUGCCGGGAGAAAUAUCAAUAACCUCAGAUAUGCAGAUGACACCACCCUUAUGGCAGAAAGUGAAGAGGAACUAAAAAGCCUCUUGAUGAAAGUAAAAGAGGAGAGCGAAAAAGUUGGCUUAAAGCUCAACAUUCAGAAAACAAAGAUUAUGGCAUCUGGUCCCAUCACUCCAUGGGAAAUAGAUGGGGAAACAGUGGAAUCAGUGUCAGACUUUAUUUUCUGGGUCUCCAAAAUCACUGCAGAUGGUGAGUGCAGCCAUGAAAUUAAAAGACGCUUACUCCUUGGAAGAAAAGUUAUGACCAACCUAGAUAGCAUAUUCAAAAGCAGAGACAUUACUUUGCUGACUAAGGUCUGUCUAGUCAAGACUAUGGUUUUUCCAGUAGUCAUGAAUGGAUGUGAGAGUUGGACUGUGAAGAAGGCUGAGUGCUGA